rnacentral:misc_RNA from 1 species
AAGUCGUAACAAGGUUUCCGUAGGUGAACCUGCGGUUGGAUCAUUAACAAUUAUUAUUGAAUUCUCCCCCCCCUUCACCGGGGGCGGUAGGUUCUCUAACACUUGUGUGCACUGUUUAUUGUCUCUCGGCGUUCGAGGGUUGGGUGUCCAGGAGCUAGCUCCUUGGCGCCCUUGGGCUUUUACCGGCCUUGACCUACCCCUGAGCGUCAACUUAAACUUGAUUUUAUUUAUACUAUAAGCCUUUAAUUUUAAAUUUAUAAUUUGAAAACAACUUUUAACAACGGAUCUCUAGGCUCUCA